UACGUAGGGUGCGAGCGUUGCCCGGAUUUAUUGGGCGUAAAGGGCGCGCAGGCGGCUCGGCACGUCCGUUGUGAAAUCGCCCGGCUCAACUGGGGAGGGUCACGCGAUACUGAUCGACUCGAAGGCAGGAGAGGGAAGUGGAAUUCCCGGUGUAGUGGUGAAAUGCGUAGAUAUCGGGAGGAACACCAGUGGCGAAGGCGACUUCCUGGCCUGUUCUUGACGCUGAGGCGCGAAAGCUAGGGGAGCAAACGGG
rnacentral:rRNA from 1 species